GACGAACGCUGGCGGCGUGCUUAACACAUGCAAGUCGAACGGAAAGGCCCUGCUUUUGUGGGGUGCUCGAGUGGCGAACGGGUGAGUAACACGUGAGUAACCUGCCCUUCACUUUGGGAUAACUUCAGGAAACUGGGGCUAAUACCGGAUAGGAGCUCCUGCUGCAUGGUGGGGGUUGGAAAGUUUCGGCGGUUGGGGAUGGGCGCGCGGCCUAUCAGCUUGUUGGUGGGGUAGUGGCUAACCAAGGCUUUGACGGGUAGCCGGCCUGAGAGGGUGACCGGCCACAUUGGGACUGAGAUACGGCCCAGACUCCUACGGGAGGCAGCAGUGGGGAAUAGUGCACAAUGGGCGGAAGCCUGAUGCAGCAACGCCGCGUGCGGGAUGACGGCCUUCGGGUUGUAAACCGCUUUCGCCUGUGACGAAGCGUGAGUGACGGUAAUGGGUAAAGAAGCACCGGCUAACUACGUG
rnacentral:rRNA from 1 species